UUCUUUGAGGCUAUCAUUCUGUUGAUUCGUUAUAUUAAUAUUAUCAUCCCCGAUUUCAUCUUCAUCUGUUAGAAUAUCUCUGAGAUCCGACCUUCAGUACAUGGAAAUUUAACAUUUUGUGAUGAACAUGUGGAAGAAAGACAAGAAAUUAAAAGGGCCCUCCAAAAUGGUUGUUCUUGUUUUCUGGGACCUUUGGAUACUUUUCGAAAUAAAAUUCCUUUUUUUAAUUGGUUUAGCCACGAAGACGUUUCUUAUCGGGGAGAUCAAUGCUAAGAAAUGUCUUCCACUUCUCAAUUGAGUCAUAGACCCUAUAUGUUAAGACAUUUUGAUGCCCUGGAUAAGGAAGAUCAAAAGAUCCGAUUCAAAAUUAGUGGACAGAGUUUGACAACUUUUUCUUUCCUUUGGGCUAUGAGGAGAUCUACAGUUCAGAGACUAUUUACUCAUUAUUUAAAGAUUAGAUUCAAAUAUAAUAAUCAUAAAUUGACUGGAAAUCCAUCUAAUAACCUGUACAAUCCAGAUAUAAAUGAAAGGAGAGAAGGAAGUGUUGCAUCUGAUUAUGAUCUCAAAGACAUACGUUUCUCAAGUGAUUAGAAUAGGAAAGUUGUAUACUAUAAAUAUAAAUAAUCAUGAUUGGAUUAAGGAUACGAUAAAUAAUGCAGAAGACAAACUUUUAUUCGCCAUUGGAAAUUUGUGUGUGGAUGUUCGUUAUGAUCAUUCUCAAGAAUUGGCCUUGUUGUUCAGAGAAUCUCUACAAACUAACCCAUUGGUUGAUUGGACAUUGAAUAUCAAUCAAAGUAUUAUGGAGCACUUGUACCAUGUCCAAACUGAACAAUUUGAGGGUUGAAUACGCCAAAAAUCAUCAAGAAUCUGUGACAUUAUUAACAAUGGACUCUUUUGAAACUAAAUCAAUUCCUUAUACGUCAA
rnacentral:lncRNA from 1 species